UCUGACGUGGUGUAGCGGUGACACGGCCUCCCCACGUAAACAAAAAUGGUGAAAGGUCAGGAGGCAGUCCCGGGUUCGAAGCCCGGCGUCUGAG